UAGAAUCUCAGGGCAGCCUGAAGGAAAAAGUCCUCUUGGAAGACAGAAAGCCAUGCUUAUCCUCAGCCUCAGGCUACUUACUGCUUUAAGAAAGUGAUUCUUGUGAUGUGUGUUAGUUUUAUUUAAAACUUUUUCGAAGUGUUAUUUUAACAGGUGUUGUGCAGCUUUCCUUGAGGAUGAGGACAGAGAGUGAGAGCUUUCUGAAAACUGUUCACCCACAGGGGAAGAACUAUUAAGUCAACGGAGAUGAAGUGCUGCAGCUGGCUUCCACAGUUCAUAGACUGUUCCUCUGCCAAUGAGUAUAAAUGAUAAUUGACUUUCAUCAAGCUAAGGAAGCCUCAUUGAUUUGGCUCAGGCAAUAUGAAGCCAGUAGACUAUGAAGCACCAUUAGAGAAUUGCGAAAGUACAGAUUGAACAGUACAAGAGCAUACAUCUCAGAUCAAAAGAAAAAUGAACCAAGGGUAUAAAGGGUAGGUGAGAGGAGAUACAAAAAAAAUACACACUGACUCGUUGCAUUGAAGGUGUACGAUCUCAUGAGCAGGUUUGGUGAGCGAACUGACAAAUAGGUGACUCUCAGUGGCAGCUAUGUAUUUACUGGAAACCAUUAAAAGCUCUAACCUUUCAAUCUUAGUGGGUUGUAGCUUUUGUCUGUGAUCCCUCAAGACCGGGGAUCAGAUCUGAUUCAAGAUCCUAAGUGAAAUUAUUUUGCUGUAGCGUACUCCUUAACAUUGGAGAGGCAGUAAUCAUCGCUAGUCACCAUUUUCAGCUUUUACUGAGGAGUGGCCCAGGUUUGCAUUGACAGGAGUGGCAUAACCUCUUGCUGGUGAUCCUUGGGUUGAAGUUUUUGGUAUGACAACUUAGGGAAGAGCUUCAUGUAGAUCUCCAAUUGUUCUUGGUAUGUGGCAUAAAUGGGAGCUGACAUUAUCUUCACUGAGUGAUAAAUAUGUGCAGUCCCCCACGCCCAGCAAAUCUCCUUACACACUAGGCUUCACAAUAUCAUGUUGGGUGUUGAUCCAGUCUAUAAUAGAUAUACUUAAAAUGCCUUUGAAUUGUCUGAACAAAUAGUGGUGUGGACUCCAAGAGCUCUUUGUGGGGUAGACUGCUUCUUCAUCAGUUCUACCUCUGUGGAACCACUGGCCCUUAGACUUGUCUUGUCUCUGUUAUCAGAGAUUAACAGUUUACCCAUCCUUUGAAAGAUGGAGAAAUAAAGCAAUGCACAAGUAUGUACUUAUGAUGGGUAGGAGGAGUGCUGGCCAGCACUUGUUAACUAAAGGAUUAAAUUCAGGUAGCUAGCAGAGUUUAAUCAGAGAGAAAUUGUAUCUAGCUACCUCGCUGCUCUUUUUUUGUAUGUGUUCUAAGGUAAGGGAGGGAGAAAUAUGCCAUAAUCAAGACUAACAUGCCUUCAAGGAAUUCAGGUCACGGGAGUGAACUGGACUAUGAAGGGAUCAUGCGUAAAUAAAGGGAAAAUAUUUAUUUA